rnacentral:rRNA from 1 species
UACGGGGGGGGCAAGCGUUGUUCGGAAUUACUGGGCGUAAAGGGCUCGUAGGCGGCCAACUAAGUCAGACGUGAAAUCCCUCGGCUUAACCGGGGAACUGCAUCUGAUACUGGAUGGCUUGAGUUCGGGAGAGGGAUGCGGAAUUCCAGGUGUAGCGGUGAAAUGCGUAGAUAUCUGGAGGAACACCGGUGGCAAAGGCGGCAUCCUGGACCGACACUGACGCUGAGGAGCGAAAGCCAGGGGAGCAAACGGG